CACGUAGGGCGCGAGCGUUGUCCGGAAUUAUUGGGCGUAAAGCGCACGUAGGCGGCUUCGCAAGUCCCAUGUGAAAGCCCACGGCUUAACCGUGGAAGUGCAUGGGAAACUGCAGAGCUUGAGUACUUAAGAGGAUCGCGGAAUUCCCGGUGUAGAGGUGAAAUUCGUAGAUAUCGGGAGGAACACCAGUGGCGAAGGCGGCGAUCUGGGAAGAUACUGACGCUGAGGUGCGAAAGCGUGGGGAGCAAACAGG
rnacentral:rRNA from 1 species